GUGAUUGUAGCUCAGUGGUAGAGCACUUGCCUAGCACAUGUGAGACACUGAGUUUGAUUCUCAGCACCACA
rnacentral:tRNA from 1 species